CACGUAGGGCGCAAGCGUUGUCCGGAAUUAUUGGGCGUAAAGAGCUCGUAGGCGGUCUGUCGCGUCUGCUGUGAAAACUCAGGGCUUAACCCUGAGCUUGCAGUGGGUACGGGCAGACUAGAGUGCGGUAGGGGAGACUGGAAUUCCUGGUGUAGCGGUGAAAUGCGCAGAUAUCAGGAGGAACACCGGUGGCGAAGGCAGGUCUCUGGGGCCAACUACUGACGCUGGAAGCGAA
rnacentral:rRNA from 1 species